UGGGGAAUAUUGGACAAUGGGCGCAAGCCUGAUCCAGCCAUGCCGCGUGAGUGAUGAAGGCCCUAGGGUUGUAAAGCUCUUUCACCGGUGAAGAUAAUGACGGUAACCGGAGAAGAAGCCCCGGCUAACUUUGUGCCAGCAGCCGCGGUAAUACGAAGGGGGCUAGCGUUGUUCGGAUUUACUGGGCGUAAAGCGCACGUAGGCGGACUAUUAAGUCAGGGGUGAAAUCCCGGGGCUCAACCCCGGAACUGCCUUUGAUACUGGUAGUCUUGAGUUCGAGAGAGGUGAGUGGAAUUCCGAGUGUAGAGGUGAAAUUCGUAGAUAUUCGGAGGAACACCAGUGGCGAAGGCGGCUCACUGGCUCGAUACUGACGCUGAGGUGCGAAAGCGUGGGGAGCAAACAGG
rnacentral:rRNA from 1 species